rnacentral:rRNA from 1 species
GAAGCUUGCUUCUCUGAUGUUAGCGGCGGACGGGUGAGUAACACGUGGAUAACCUACCUAUAAGACUGGGAUAACUUCGGGAAACCGGAGCUAAUACCGGAUAAUAUUUUGAACCGCAUGGUUCAAAAGUGAAAGACGGYCUUGCUGUCACUUAUAGAUGGAUCCGCGCUGCAUUAGCUAGUUGGUAAGGUAACGGCUUACCAAGGCAACGAUGCAUAGCCGACCUGAGAGGGUGAUCGGCCACACUGGAACUGAGACACGGUCCAAACUCCUACGGGAGGCAGCAGUAGGGAAUCUUCCGCAAUGGGCGAAAGCCUGACGGAGCAACGCCGCGUGAGUGAUGAAGGUCUUCGGAUCGUAAAACUCUGUUAUUAGGGAAGAACAUAUGUGUAAGUAACUGUGCACAUCUUGACGGUACCUAAUCAAAAAGCCACGGCUAACUACGUGCCAGCAGCCGCGGUAAUACGUAGGUGGCAAGCGUUAUCCG